UGGGCCAGGGUGACUAGCAUGGGCUGGAGUUAGGGAUUUUACUUUUCUCACGUGGGAGCCUAGAGCCAGCUGGAGAUGGUUAGGAAUUAGGCUCUAGUUAAAUAGUUUCCCCUGAGUGCUGGCCUUGUUGAGAUCAGGACCCUAAGAAGUAUUUAAAAAUGGCUCCAUUUCUCCUCUCGCCGAAGGGAGGCCCACCGGAAUGUUUCUCUGAUAUUUACUGUGGGAAUAUGGAUGAAUCCUGGAUGCUAAUUUCUCAAUAUCAUGAGCGUCCACCCUGACAAGGACCCCUAGGAGUUCUAACUUGCUGAGUUGUCUGCACGAGGCCCCCAGCUCCAGCUGACAUUUUCUUGCUUGGCCCUGGCUGUUGCAAGGCGUUUAGGCGUGAAGUCUCUGCUUUGGAAGAACAUAAAGUAGUGGCAGUCUUUUGCCCUUUGGACUAUUGCCCAACUCCUGUGCAUUUGAUGCUGAGAUCUCUAUUUUCAUGAAGUUAUUCUGAAACUCUGGAUCAGAGUUUAGAAAGUCUAGCGGUUUCUUUACCCCUUUUGAGAUGUGGAGAUGG